rnacentral:rRNA from 1 species
UACGGGGGGAGCAAGCGUUGUUCGGAUUUACUGGGCGUAAAGGGCGCGUAGGCGGCCACCGCAAGUCGGUUGUGAAAUCUCCGGGCUUAACCCGGAAAGGUCAAUCGAUACUGCGGGGCUAGAGUUCUGGAGGGGUAGCGGAAUUCCUGGUGUAGCGGUGAAAUGCGUAGAUAUCAGGAGGAACACCGGUGGCGAAGGCGGCUACCUGGACAGAAACUGACGCUGAGGCGCGAAAGCUAGGGGAGCAAACAGG